UACGUAGGGUGCGAGCGUUGUCCGGAAUUAUUGGGCGUAAAGGGCUCGUAGGCGGUUUGUCGCGUCGGGAGUGAAAACCUCGGGCUUAACUCGGGGCUUGCUUUCGAUACGGGCAGACUGGAGGUAUGCAGGGGAGAACGGAAUUCCUGGUGUAGCGGUGGAAUGCGCAGAUAUCAGGAGGAACACCGGUGGCGAAGGCGGGUCUCUGGGCCGUAACUGACGCUGAGGAGCGAAAGCAUGGGGAGCGAACAGG
rnacentral:rRNA from 1 species